rnacentral:rRNA from 1 species
GGGCCCGCACAAGCGGUGGAGUAUGUGGUUUAAUUCGAUGCAACGCGAAGAACCUUACCUGGUCUUGACAUCCCGAAGAUCUCCUGGAAACAGGAGAGUGCUCUCUUUGAGAGAAUUUGGUGACAGGUGCUGCAUGGCUGUCGUCAGCUCGUGUCGUGAGAUGUUGGGUUAAGUCCCGCAACGAGCGCAACCCUCGCCAUUAGUUGCCAGCAUUAAGUUGGGCACUCUAGUGGGACUGCCGGUGUCAAACCGGAGGAAGGCGGGGAUGACGUCAAGUCCUCAUGGCCUUUAUGACCAGGGCUACACACGUACUACAAUGGCCGGUACAACGGGCUGCCACUUCGCGAGAAGGCGCAAAUCCCUAAAAGCCGGUCUCAGUCCGGAUUGGAGUC